rnacentral:lncRNA from 1 species
GGCCCUAAGCAGCUCCAUUACUCCCUGACAAGCCGUAUUAACGGCCAUGAUUCUGCUCCACUCCCUGCGGCGGAUCCUAUGCGAUUCCACCACCCCCAGAUGAGUCACGACAGCAGACGCCGCUCCACUCCCCGUAACUGAUCCCACGUGGCGAGCCACGGUGAUAGCCACGACCCCACUCCACUACUCUCCGCAAUAAAUUCCUCCUGACUCUGGGCGGCCCACUACCAGACGGUUACAGGCGUCGCUAUCAAUCUGUUGCCCUCUCUGUCUAUAAAAGGGAAACCCCAGAUACAUUAUUCAAUAAGCUCUCAUCUUUCAUCUAAAAACUCUGCUAAAUUCUUCGUUCGAGCACUCCAUUCUUGUUGAGGCAGAGAACUGACUUGAGCGUCGGAGGGUCUUGCCGGAGCAACCCCACCUCCGGUUUAG